rnacentral:lncRNA from 1 species
UUAGCCUAACAUUAGAUGACAUUCGAAAAUCUCUGCCACUUCUCUUCUUUAAGUCAUUUUUGGUGAAAGAUUCCUCUGGAGCGGUGUUACACUGGCUCACUGGUCUGAUUAAAAAUAUUUGAAUGAGGCUAUUCUCUCAGAUCAAACCUGGCAGGUAAUACAUGAGCUGCAUGAACCGUCAGUCAGCCAAGUCGAAAAUCUGGCUUUACUUUGUGCAUUUUCUGAUUUCCAUUUUUCCACUUAAAACAGUAUGAUUGAACUCUGUCCUUUGAGCUUUUUGAAGUCAUAAAAUGUUACUUCCAACUCUGCUCUUUCUUUUUUAAUUAGGUCUGCAUGUUUUCUUUAUGAAUCCUGCUAGAAACUUUUUCCCCUUAAACUUGUUCAUCAUACAUUUAAGUCUGUUUUUCUUCUACAGAUGUGAAAAAGUUGAAUUUGAAUCUUUACCCACUUAAAGUCUGCUGGCCCUUUAAGUCCUCUCUCUCUCUCUCUCUCUCUCUCUCUCUCUCUCUCUAUCUAUCUAUCUAUCUAUCUAUCUAUCUAUCUAUCCCUCUCUUUUAUUUGUAUAGUACUUCUUCCUUCUCCCUCUUAACCCCUUGUCCUCUUUUUAUUCACUCCAACUUCAGCUCUGGGCUGAAUUCUCCCUCUCCUCUUCCUUCCACUUUUCUUGCAUUUUCACAGCCCAUAUUGCAGUGAUUUGCACCAUCUUUUAUGAUCAAAGUAAAAGCACUAAGUUCAGUCACAUUCAAAUCCCUAAGAGGGUCAAUUGAAUCAUAGCCUUUCUUCUUUCAUCUUAGGGUCCUCACGCCUCUCUUGCUUUCCCCAUCUCACUAUUUGGCUCCAUCUCUCUACUAUUUGUCAAUGAAUUGACAUUUCUGCUCCCCCUGUCUCCCCUGUUACUGUCUGCAGUCGGUCAGCUGAAUAAACAGGGCCUUCUACGUCAGAGAGCCGUCCCACAACCCCUAUCACACGCUUCUGAGGUUAGGGUUCAUUAUUUCUGGUUCCCCCAGGAGACCUCUGUGAAGAAAGCAAUGAGUUGUGGACAGACGGGAACAGCCUCUACCCACACAAAAGCAAAACAGACAGUUUUUAAAUAAAGUCAAGGAGCUGGAGCCCAAAACAGCAUCCAGCACAUCUGAAGUAUGAGCUGGAAAUGGAGACAGCAGGACAUGCAGAGAAAAGCUGCAUCAGGUGCAACAGUGUCUGUUUGUUAGAAAUGAGAUUUGUGACCUGAUAGGAGUUCAUGCAUACAGGCUGCAUACUUUCUUAGAUUAGCUCUGAGAGGAAAGAUUGGUUGAAUUGGUUGUGUUUGAAAGUCUCAAUGUUUUGUUUACACGCUUGAUUCACACAAAUGACUCGUUGUAUUUGCAAGUCAUAUGUUGUCGUAUUGCAAACAUAUGAAUUCAUGCCAGAGAGGAGGGAUUUCCUUUAUGCCAUCUCAGACUGGUUACAUCACACAUAGUUCGAUUUUGAUGACAUUGUGAGAAUUUAUUGUGUUUCUCAAAGCCAACAUCUUUUCAGUCCUGUUUCUUUAUUGAAAUCAGGUUGUAUUGUAGAGCUUAGGUGGCUGAGUAACAUCACCAUUGGCUCGUCCUCCAUUUUCCAACCGAAUGAACCUCCACUGGUCCAUUGCUGAGGUCGGUUAUCAGGGACUUGGGGGUUUGGGGGGAGACUUAAAGAGACAGCACCCAAAAGAAGUGUUCCAAAUGAAGGCUAAAAUAAUGAUAUUUAAUACACCAGAGUGUGAAAUAGGAGGCUGUUUCCUCUUCUUCUUGACAUGAUCUGAAAAUCAUGUUAAGAGGAAUCAGAGAGGAAGUAUAGCAUCUGGAAAAAUGAAUAGUACCCCCAGUUUAACCAAAAUUACUACUAUUGCUUCCAUUCUGGCACCAACAACAGUGAGGGAAAACAUUCAAAGACUCCAAUGGUGCCCUUUAUUCUGUGGCAGUAACAUUUGUUUGUCUCCAGUUAACACCAUGACAUUGUUGAGAUGUCAGCCUCGAAAGGGAUGUAAGAUGUAAUACAGAUAUCAGCUAGCUUGAGUGCAUGACACAUUAUAUACUGAAAAGCCAGUGUCUGAUUGGCUGAUGGAUUGGUCUAUCCCUUGUUGUUUUAAUGUCCAUGAUCGUUUUGUUGGAUCAAGCAUCAGAAUAUUUGCAAGCAGAAAACAUUGAUGAUUUGUUACACCCAACAUCAAGUGACGGUGUCAUACAGAAUUGUUGCAUGUGUAUAUACGUAAUGCCGUUGAUGACUAGUGAUAACAUAACAUAGGGUUGUCUGUGGAAGAAGAUUUCACCACCAUCUCACAGUGGUGCUGGAAAACAAGUGGUAGAAGUAAAAAUGAGAGAUGGGCUUUCUAAAGGGAAAAGCGGGUAAAAUGUACAGGUCCUUGUUUCCUUUUUUCUACUUUGAUUCUGAGAAAGAAAUGUUGAUGAUUAAUGCUUGUCCGAAUAAACUCCCGCUGCACAGAAGUGUGUGGCAAAUUCGUGCAGAGCAUUUGAGGGUUUAUUUUUUUAUCAUCUCCAGUGACAGUCUUUAGCCUUAAAGGCAUGUGAAAAGAGUUUGGGAAUGCAUGCUGAGAUCUACAUGGGCCUUCUUUCUCCUGUUGUCACAUCUCAUCACAGUGCCAUUGUUUGUCUCCAGGCUGCUGUUGUUUAUCUCUUUCUAAUCACUUCAGUCCUUCAGCCGCAGCCGCUCUACACUCUCCAGGCCUGAGAGGACCUGCAGCAGCCCUGAUAACACUAACACACACUCACUUAAAUGCAUACAUGCACUUACGUACAAGUAUUUGUGUAUGGAGAACUACAGUUAUCUAUACACCCACUUAGACCUGCACACUGGCACACACACAUGUAAACAUGGACACCAAAGUUACGUAUACAGACCCACAUGAACCAGAACACGUGCAGGCAUGAGUGUCCAAGGAGCUGAGAGGGGCUAAUAAACUAACCACCUGCUAUCUGUGCAGCAGUGAGUCUGUCUGCUCUCAGAAUCAGUGUGUGUGUGUGUGUGUGUGUGUGUGUGUGUGUGUGUUUGUAGAUAAGUGAAGUGGGAGUCCAGCACUAAUCAGCUGCUGUCUCGCUUUCUAAUGACACUCUUCACCGUCCUCUCGUAGCACCACCACAUCUCCACAACAAACAUACAUCCUCUGCAAACACACAGAAACACACGCACACACGGCUUCACAGUGUUUAUUCUGUGAAAUAUAGAGUGACAUUUUAUUUAUUUAUCUAUUUAUAAAAUAACACUGUAACACUUCAGGAAAUAAACAGGAAUACAUUUAUAAAUUGCCCAAUCAGUACAAGUAUGGUGUGUAAUCAUCGUCAAGGGAUCCCUGGUAAAUGCAAUAGCAUAUACACUUUUUUCAGGAGUUCCAGUUUGGUGUUUUUUCUUGGUAGAGAUCAGGCCCUGUAUAUUUUAAAACUAUUGUCCCUCCACAGAUAAAGCAUGACUUGUCACAAUAUACCAUCUUGAGGACACCCAUUGGACCCCUGUCUUCUAUAGCUGCGUUUCCAUUAAAUUUUUUCGGUGUUUAUCAAAUUUUGACAAAGUUCAAUUGCGAUUUGCGGGUGUUUCCAUUGAACUGUGUUCAGUGCAUAAGCGAGCCGUCUGCCUCUCGUGAGCCGUAUUUGAAUGGCCGUUGCCUAGCAACGAGGUAAACUUCCUGCCCGUGCGACCUCGUAUUCCUUAAGCCUUUUUGCACACCAACAUGGACGAGACACAAAACAUUUUGCGUUUUGGAGCAGCUAUUUCUGUGACCAUUACUGCUGUUGCCGCUGCUGUCAUCAGAAGACGAAGGCAGCAGGUGAUAAUUCAUAGGCAAAGUCCGUAUGUAUGGGAGCGGACACGGAUGAGGGAUUUCUGGGAGAGGAUCGUUAAUGAGGAAUUCACAGAUGAAUUGUGGAUUCAAAACUUCAGAAAAAUACAAAUACAAUUCAAAACUUCAGAAAUAACUCUGUCUCCUCCCCCGUCCACACAUACCGCGACAUCUUUGCUUGAAAUGAACUGGUCACAUGACCCGCUACGUCACGUCCGGUGACAGAGAAUUGCGAGAAUAGUGUUUCCAUUACACUUUUGCGAUAUACUUCUAUAUCGACACGUCUGAAAAACCACCUCAUGAGAGCGUAAAAACUUUUUAGCGAUAUUUCAGAGGUUUUUGAAAUUUAGGUGUUUCCAUUACCAGUUUUCUAUUGCGAUAUUUAGGUUUUGCGCAAAUCUAGGGGUAAUGGAAACGCAGCUUUUGAUACUGAUUGGCCUGCAGACAGAUGCCACCUAUUUCAUGAGUGCUGUUAACUUCAUUCAGUUUCACGCUCACUUCUAUGGCAGUUUGCACACAUCAGAAAACUAAACCCUUUGCUGGCUUUUUGUGACGAAGUUGUCUAUUGACAUCAGUCUGAGCUAAGUAUCAAGGUGCAACCCUCACAGAUAGUCUUUUAGUGAUGAACCAUUUAUGUUUGAAUGAACAAUGGAAUUAAAAAAUUCAAUCAAUUCAUCCAAGAGCUAAAAUCAUUUUCAUGCAUAAGAUUUAGGACUUGUAAAGUGGGUUAUCUGGGAAUAUUUCCAGGCUGGUAGUGUCAUUUAAAAGCACAGUGGUGCUGUAAUUAUUCAUUAUGGAGGGGGCUGGAACUAAGAACAUGAUGCACCACAGGAGAAAUAGAUAAGCUUUAGGGAUGCAAAUUGUAAGUAUUCUUGGUGAUUUAUCUUUGGUAAUGCCGGCAAUGAAAAUCCAUUACCAAGAUUUUUCCCUAUGACCAAAACAAUAUCGGAUAUGUUUUUUUUCGCCUCAAUCCUGUAUUUCCCACAGCAACAAUGCUGACAAUCGUGCAAGACUAUGGAACAUAAAGAGGUGAACAAAAUGGGUUCCAACAGGAAAUAACUAGUCGACUACUUAAACCAGUGGGUGCUGUUGGUAUUUGCUAUCAACUUGAUGCGUCAGUAUUACAGGGACAGGGUCUGACCUCGGCUCUGAUGUGCUGUUAAAAUGUAUCAUUCUGUCUGCAUCUUUUCUACAUAACAACUAAUCAACCAGUCCACUACUUCUCUGACACAAUUAGUGACUAGUGAAAAUAAGUACUGCCCUGGCUUUGCGUGUGCAAAAUCACAUGCAAAGUUGAUAGCACAUGCAAAGCUGAUCUACUAAUUGGGUGAACCACGAAUUGCAUUUGCCAAAUGAGCAAAACAGUGCGUGCAAUCCAUUUAACGUGUUUGCCUCCAUGAAUAUACAGAAUGUAUGUAGAUCAUCAGACCACGCAAAAUCCUGGGAGGAGCAGAUGCAAAUGCAAUCAUUUAGCACCCGCAAUGUGAUUUAUUAAACCCAGAAACCAAUUGCAAUAACUGUUUUGUGUCUUUAUUCAGCAUGUUUAAAAGGCAGGUGCAAACUGGCACAGCAUUACGUACAGUCAUUUUGGGGAGAAGGAGGCAGAAGUUCCAUAAUAGAUGCCAUGACCCUUGUCCAAAAGCUUGUGAUUUAUUUUGUUUUUCUGGUUAAUGAUGAUUUUCAUAAAUAAUGAGGUCAAACACAGAACAGAUGAAAAAAUUAAUCUCUUUGGGCUCUAUUUCCGUGCCUCACCGGAGACGUGCCACAGGCGCGGCGUAAGUCAGGUCCGCCACGCCGACGAGGCGUUCCCAAGCACAAUUUGGUAUUUUGGUGAGAGGCGAAGCCCAGCGUAAGUAUCCCCCCUCCCUAACUCAGGUCCUCCCAGCGGCGUAAGUCGUGGCGAGGGAGGAGAAAGGGCGUGGAGUGGGUUUAACACAGCCGAGACCUGUUUUCACCAAUCACAUACGCUCCUC